CACCCUCACUCACUGCUCCCUCUUCUCAUUUCUUUGGGCAGCUACAGGAGGCAGGCUGCUGACAGGGAAGGGGCUGUUCCCCCAUGGUUCCCAGCUGUUUCUUUGUGGCCAUGCUGGCCCCUCUGGUUUUAUCUCUGGAACAGUCUCCAGACAUGGUGAUAAAAGAAGGGCAAUCCGUGAAACUGGAAUGUUCCAAGAAGAAAUCCUCUAACAUAGCUAUGUUCUGGUACAUGCUGCCUUCAGAAAAGAAUUCCCGUUUGACACUAUUGGCUUCUGCAGUACAAGGUGGCAACAUAGAAGUGGAGAAGGGUUUUGAGGGCCAUUUCAAGAGCAGCGACAUCAAAGGAGACAGCAUCACCCUCUCAAUAGACCAUGCCUUUCUCAAUGACUCUGGCACAUACUACUGUGCUGAGAGAGAACACAGUGGUGAAGCUGCUGAGGGAGCUGAGCACAAACUGCUCCCUGCACAUACAGGACCUGCUUUUCACUACAUGAGUGCUGCAUGA